CAAAUUCGCAUCUAGGGGAAUA
rnacentral:miRNA from 1 species